rnacentral:rRNA from 1 species
GGUUCAGGAUGAACGCUGGCGGCGUGCCUAACACAUGCAAGUCGAACGAAGCACUUCUGAUCGGAGAUUCGUCGAAGAUUGGAUUUGACUUAGUGGCGGACGGGUGAGUAAUGUAUGAGCAACCUGCCUUUCAGAGGGGGGACAACAGUCGGAAACGACUGCUAAUACCGCAUAAUGUAUAUAGAGGGCAUCCUCGGUAUACCAAAGGAGCAAUCCGCUGAAAGAUGGGCUCAUAUCUGAUUAGUUAGUUGGCAGGGUAACGGCCUACCAAGACUGCGAUCAGUAGCCGGACUGAGAGGUUGAACGGCCACAUUGGGACUGAGAUACGGCCCAGACUCCUACGGGAGGCAGCAGUGGGGAAUAUUGGGCAAUGGGCGAAAGCCUCGACCCAGCAACGCCGCGUGAAGGAAGAAGGUCUUCGGAUUGUAAACUUCUUUUAUGAGGGACGAAGGACGUGACGGUACCUCAUGAAUAAGCCACGGCUAACUACGUGCCAGCCGCCGC